GAUGAAGAACGCAGCGAACUGCGAUAAGUAAUGCGAAUUGCAGAAUUCAGUGAAUCAUCGAGUCUUUGAACGCACAUUGCGCCCCCUGGUAUUCCGGGGGGCAUGCCUGUCCGAGCGUCAUUGCCGCCCUCAAGCACGGCUUGUGUGUUGGGCCCCCGCCCCCCGGCUUCGGGGGGCGGGCCCGAAAGGCAGCGGCGGCACCGCGUCCGGUCCUCGAGCGUAUGGGGCUUCGUCACCCGCUCUGUAGGCCCGGCCGGCGCCCGCCGGCGACCCCAAUCAAUCUUUCCAGGUUGACCUCGGAUCAGGUAGGGAUACCCGCUGAACUUAAGCAUAUCAAUAAGCGGAGGA
rnacentral:misc_RNA from 1 species